rnacentral:rRNA from 1 species
CCUCCUGCGGGAGGCAGCAGUGGGGAAUAUUGGACAAUGGGCGCAAGCCUGAUCCAGCCAUGCCGCGUGAGUGAUGAAGGCCCUAGGGUUGUAAAGCUCUUUCACCGGUGAAGAUAAUGACGGUAACCGGAGAAGAAGCCCCGGCUAACUUCGUGCCAGCAGCCGCGGUAAUACGAAGGGGGCUAGCGUUGUUCGGAUUUACUGGGCGUAAAGCGCACGUAGGCGGACUAUUAAGUCAGGGGUGAAAUCCCGGGGCUCAACCCCGGAACUGCCUUUGAUACUGGUAGUCUUGAGUUCGAGAGAGGUGAGUGGAAUUCCGAGUGUAGAGGUGAAAUUCGUAGAUAUUCGGAGGAACACCAGUGGCGAAGGCGGCUCACUGGCUCGAUACUGACGCUGAGGUGCGAAAGCGUGGGGAGCAAACAGGAUUAGAAACCCCUGUAGUCCCA